rnacentral:rRNA from 1 species
CACGUAGGGCGCGAGCGUUUGUCCGGAAUUAUUGGGCGUAAAGAGCUCGUAGGCGGCCUGUUGCGUCCGCUGUGAAAGCCCGGGGCUUAACCCCGGGUCUGCAGGCGAAACUGUCGGGCUUGAGUGUGGGAGAGGUGAGUGGAAUUCCCGGUGUAGCGGUGAAAUGCGCAGAUAUCAGGAGGAACACCGGUGGCGAAGGCGGUCUCCUGGGGCAUUCUUGACGCUGAGGCGCGAAAGCUGGGGGGAGCGAACGGG